rnacentral:misc_RNA from 1 species
UUGAAAGCUACCAAUGAGUUUUAAUUCAAUGGUACUUGAGUUGUCUCUAGAACUUUAAAGUCACAAUUUCAAAUCUCAUCGAAGCCAAUUGUACCGAAACAAAAAAGGUAUGAAUGGGGAGCUUAUACAAUAAAGUUCUAAGAAGAGAAUUAAAAUCAGGUUGGUAAUCACCCUUUUCUCCGCCUAACCUAAGCCCAAGAACUUUUACAAAGCAUGAGGCAUGUUUUUGUAGCUUAAACAAAUAAUUACAGCAUCUGGGAACCUUGAA